rnacentral:rRNA from 1 species
GGGGGGCAACCCCCUAGUAGAGUGGCGAACGGGUGAGUAAUAUAUCGGAACGUGUCCUGUAAUGGGGGAUAGCUCGGCGAAAGCCGGAUUAAUACCGCAUACGAUCUACGGAUGAAAGUGGGGGAUUCGCAAGGACCCCACGUUAUAGGAGCGGCCGAUAUCGGAUUAGCUAGUUGGUGAGGUAAAGGCUUACCAAGGCAACGAUCCGUAGCUGGUCUGAGAGGAUGAUCAGCCACACUGGAACUGAGACACGGUCCAGACUCCUACGGGAGGCAGCAGUGGGGAAUUUUGGACAAUGGGGGCAACCCUGAUCCAGCCAUGCCGCGUGAGUGAAGAAGGCCUUCGGGUUGUAAAGCUCUUUCAGACGGAAAGAAACGGCGCGGGUUAAUAUCCUGCGCUAAUGACGGUACCGUAAGAAGAAGCACCGGCCAACUACGUGCCAGCAGCCGCGGUAAUACGUAGGGUGCGAGCGUUAAUCGGAAUUACUGGGCGUAAAGCGUGCGUAGGCGGCGGCUUGUGUCAGGUGUGAAAGCCCCGGGCUUAACCUGGGAAUUGCGCUUGAAACUAGGUCGCUAGAGUUCAUUAGAGGGGGGUGGAAUUCCAGGUGUAGCAGUGAAAUGCGUAGAGAUCUGGAGGAACACCGAUGGCGAAGGCAGCCCCCUGGGGUGAAACUGACGCUCAGGCACGAAAGCGUGGGGAGCAAACAGGAUUGGAUACCCUGGUAGUCCACGCCCUAAACGAUGUCAACUAGUUGUUGGGAGAAUUUAAUCUCCCAGUAACACAGCUAACGCAUGAAGUUGACCGCCUGGGGAGUACGGCCGCAAGGUUAAAACUCAAAGGAAUUGAC